rnacentral:misc_RNA from 1 species
GCAUCUACCGAUUGAAUGGAGAGGUAAAAUCUCCGGACUAUGACGCGUUGGGGUCAAACCUACUGCAGUCGUGGGAAGUGGAUUAAACCUUUCCAUUUAGAGGAAGAUGAAGUCGUAACAAGGUUUCCGUAGGUGAACCUGCAGAAGGAUCAUCCGCGAAGCUCCUACCGAUUUCGAGUGUUCAGUUGAACCUUCUGGACUGAGUCGCAAGACCCGGGAAGUUAGGUAAAUCUUAACACUUAGAGGAAGGAGAAGUCGUAACAAGGUUUCCGUAGGUGAACCUGCAGAAGGAUCA